ACUAUGAUGACCUCAAAACAUUGUCUGCAUUGUGCAAAAAUAGUGUUUACUGUGUUUGUGAUUUAUUAUUCAAUACAGACAAGAAGCAAAAGAUGAAAGGACAGCUUUUGGAUGAAGAACGUGUAUUAGGACAAGAAAGAUGGAGGUCACAUGAUCGGAGAGGAUCACAGUAACAUCAGGGAUUAUCUACCGCAACAAUUUUCCCAUUUAAUUAAAUUGCCAAAAACAUGUUUCUCUGGUUUUAUAAACCGAUAUGGAGAAAGGGUCUUGUGUUGCGCUGUAAAAUUAUAUGUAAAUUUAAUAUGUAAAAAUAUUAAAAAAUAUAUUUUG